GCUUUUGGCUGAUUGGAAGCAGGUGCUUUGAAAGCAUUUUAUAGAAGUUCGAAUCUUCUAAUAGUU
rnacentral:tRNA from 1 species